rnacentral:lncRNA from 1 species
UCCUCCUCCUCCUCCUCCCUUCCUUCUCCUCGCGCUGAAAUGAAAACACUAUAUUGUGACAUUCAAGAAUGGCGUUGCCCACCAUAAGCGAUUGAUGAUUUAUUUUUAAGGCUUAAGAGCUGGAGCUCGAUUCUUCAAGCACAUCUAGAUGCGUGCAUGAAGAACAUCUUGAUGUGACUCCGUGUCUCAAGUACUCCUCAGACUCAGCGAGUAGUCAAGCGUCGAGACUUUAGUGACCAAGUUGUUUAUCAGUUCUUCUUCUCAUCCGUGAAGACAUAGUCUGCGGUACAAAUGGGCAGUGCAAGCAUCAGCAGGAAUAUAUGAAUCACGCUCAUGCUGACUUUGUACGUUAGGAAACAUGGUACUUGGGAACGCUGAUGGCAACCACAUCAAACGAAGAGGAACCCCAGACGAUGGCAGCAGAUUGGAAAUAAUGGGAACAUGCCAAGGCGCAGAAACCGGAGCUGGCUCAGUGAACCUCAAUUAGGACAUUUAUAUACAUUUGAUUUAUAAAUGUGCCGAGGAUGACUGCCACGAGAACUGACCAGUUGUUUUAUACAUGGAUGAUUGAGGGAAGUGUGCAAGCCCAUGAUGACUGGCUAAGAGGAUUGGCUCCAGUUUACGAAGGUACACCUAAGAAGGAAACGGGUAUGUAGGGUAGAAAUCAUUCACCCAGACAUGGCAGGAGAGGCGUGAAAGGGUAAGUGUGUGGGUAUGUUGAUUGCUCACAUUACAUGACUUACGUUUGUCUGGAGCAUUCAAAUGUUCGUAUUACAAACGGUACUAGCCUGUUUUUUAAAGAGCUUAUUAUUAUUAAAACUAGCCCUCCAAUUUAAAUAUUUUAUAUUAUUUCAAAACACGUGCACACUUUCAUACCUAACACGCUUUAAACAUGUUAUUGAAUUGUCUUAGGGAACUGUACCUUUCCUCUAUUCAUUUUAUUUAGGCAACGAUAUUUUUCCAAAUGCAAGAGGGGAGGUGGAAUGAAAUGUAUCAGGAGAAAACACCCAGCGAAAGCACCAGUAGCACUCGCAGGGGUCAGACUAGGGAUGGAAUGGGAUUACAGAUGAAAAACAAUGCUGUCCAAUCAAAUUUUGAUUGUGGGGGGGAUUGAACGAUUAGCUACAUGAAGCGAGACGGGCUGGACGCUAGAAGAGCAAACUGGUUAGAGAGGUCUUUUUCCUAUGUUGUCUCUGUGUUAAAACAGUCUUGCUCCAGACAAAGGGAGAAGACUCAAUUUCAAUCGUCCCAGAGACAUUAAACAAUUGGGAGUGUAAUGGAUCCCAAAUGUCUUUGACCAUGAACAUAGUGUUUUUAUGCAAGUCACCCAUUAUUGUCGAUAUCGCUUAGAAAAAUGUUAACGGGACAUGCAGGCUAUGUUUCAAUUAGCCUCAACCCUAGGCCUUCAAGUUUGUAUGUAGAGAGUCUGUGCCCUUUAACCCUGGCAUAUGGUAUUCCUGUCAUUUUAAGGUCAACUCCUGCAUACCUUACGUUGUUAAAUGAAGUCAUAAGCUAUUUAGGUGCUUUAUUUCCAGGAAAUUUAUUUUACAACCUACCAGGAUUGCUGUUCAUGUAAGCAACAGAAUAUUGUACAUAACUAAUAAAGGCAGAACUACAAUUCUAAAUUUGCAUGGUACUGACUACCCACACCUGGCCUCUUUCACAAAAGUUGCGAGUGUACGCUCAAGCAGUGCUUGCCAUAACAAUUGCACGAUCUCCUGUGAUAAACAAUUCCCUGUCAUUGGUAAUGGAAAUGUUAAUAACCUCGUCAGUGUAUGAAAUGAUACUUUAUGACGGUAGUUAUAACACGUCACAGUAGUAAAUAAGGUUAACAUAAUGCAAGCGUUUAUUUGUUCUUAUUUAGGGUGUAGGUAAACUAUCAGACAUGCUCCAAAAGUAGAUCAGCCAAAAUGUGUGUACGAUCUACUUUAAUUCGUAUUGUGAAAUGGAAAAUAAAAUACACCGACAUCUG